AGCAAACAGGAUUAGAUACCCUGGUAGUCCACGCUGUAAACGAUGUCGAUUGGAGUUUGUUGCCUAGAGUGAUGGGCUCCGAAGCUAACGCGAUAAAUCGACCGCCUGGGGAGUACGGCCGCAAGGUUAAACUCAAAUGAAUUGACGGGGGCCCGCACAAGCGGUGGAGCAUGUGGUUUAAUUCGAUGCAACGCGAAGAACCUUACCUGGUCUUGACAUCCAUAGAAUUCUGCAGAGAUGUGGGAGUGCCUUCGGGAACUAUGAGACAGGUGCUGCAUGGCUGUCGUCAGCUCGUGUUGUGAAAUGUUGGGUUAAGUCCCGCAACGAGCGCAACCCUUAUUCUUUGUUGCCAGCGAUUUGGUCGGGAACUCAAAGGAGACUGCCGUUGAUAAAGCGGAGGAAGGUGGGGACGACGUCAAGUCAUCAUGGCCCUUACGACCAGGGCUACACACGUGCUACAAUGGCGUAUACAAAGGGAAGCGAAGGUGCGAGCUGGAGCGGAUCUCAUAAAGUACGUCUAAGUUCGGAUUGGAGUCUGCAACUCGACUCCAUGAAGUCGGAAUCGCUAGUAAUCGUAGAUCAGAAUGCUACGGUGAAUACGUUCCCGGGCCUUGUACACACCGCCCGUCACACCAUGGGAGUGGGUUGCACCAGAAGUAGAUAGCUUAACCGCGAGGGGGGCGUUUACCACGGUGUGAUUCAUGACUGGGGUGAAGUCGUAACAAGGUAACCA
rnacentral:rRNA from 1 species